rnacentral:lncRNA from 8 species
CUGCGUAACAAAGGAAUCGAUAAAAAGUAUAUUAUUUUGACUCAAACGUUCCAACGUUCUAUGGAACAUAGACUAUUAUGGGUUUUCCAACACACAUUUAACCACUGUCUCAUGUAGCCUGUUUUAGUUUCGCUAGCGUUGACCCCGAUUUAUCCUUGACGAAUGACCAUCUUAAAUAUCAGGGAACAAGAGCAAUUUAAUGCACUCUUUAAGGCAAAAUCAGUCUCGGGGCCCUCAGGCCAGAGAGGGGCAGCAAAGCACCUAUGGGGCUGACUACAAGCCCCCCAGUGAUCGGCACCUCAGUCUGUUCAGCCUCCAUGCAGAGCCAUCUUGCACCACACACCAGAAGUGCUACAAACAGUGUUUCCAGACCAUUACCAACGGCCCACAGAACCCCGCCUUUGCCUUCACUCAGAAGGGGAGAACAGUGAGGGCAGCUACAUUGGAGAGUGAGAAUUUCAGUAUGAUCCAAGUGGAAAGGACAGCUCCUCCAGAGAAGGGGCAGAGCCAGAUACCACCACAGCGUUUGAGCUCCGACUCUGGGGAACGAAGGUCAGUCUCUCCCCUCGACCUCAGUCCGUAA